GACGAACGCUGGCGGCGUGCUUAACACAUGCAAGUCGAGCGGUAAGGCCUUUCGGGGUACACGAGCGACGAACGGGUGAGUAACACGUGGGUGAUCUGCCCUGCACUUCGGGAUAAGCCUGGGAAACUGGGUCUAAUACCGGAUAUGACCUCCUAUCGCAUGGUGGGUGGUGGAAAGAUUUAUCGGUGCAGGAUGGGCCCGCGGCCUAUCAGCCUGUUGGUGGGGUAAUGGCCUACCAAGGCGACGACGGGUAGCCGACCUGAGAGGGUGACCGGCCACACUGGGACUGAGACACGGCCCAGACUCCUACGGGAGGCAGCAGUGGGGAAUAUUGCACAAUGGGCGAAAGCCUGAUGCAGCGACGCCGCGUGAGGGAUGACGGCCUUCGGGUUGUAAACCUCUUUCAGCAGGGACGAAGCGCAAGUGACGGUACCUGCAGAAGAAGCACCGGCUAACUACGUG
rnacentral:rRNA from 1 species